rnacentral:rRNA from 1 species
UACGAAGGGGGCUAGCGUUGCUCGGAAUCACUGGGCGUAAAGGGUGCGUAGGCGGGUCUUUAAGUCAGGGGUGAAAUCCUGGAGCUCAACUCCAGAACUGCCUUUGAUACUGAAGAUCUUGAGUCCGGGAGAGGUGAGUGGAACUGCGAGUGUAGAGGUGAAAUUCGUAGAUAUCCGCAAGAACACCAGUGGCGAAGGCGGCUCACUGGCCCGGUACUGACGCUGAGGCACGAAAGCGUGGGGAGCAAACAGG